rnacentral:lncRNA from 1 species
GAUCGGAGAUGUGGGUACCCAGUGCUUAGCUGCCAUCUUGCCAAAACUUCCAGAACUCAGGAAGUUUGACCUCUCAGGGAACAGGAUUGGCCCAGCUGGGGGAGUGCAGCUGGUGAAGUCUCUCACCCAUUUCGAGCACUUGGAGGAGAUCAAGUGAGUCUCUAUCCAGGUGGGAUCCCCCUGGACCUCUUGUUCCUUUAGAACCGGGCAGAAUGGGAUCCUGAGCAGGCUGUCAACACUGGGCACUCUAUCCUAUCUUCUUUUAGACUGGGCAACAAUGCUCUGGGGGAGCCCACAGCCCUGGAGCUGGCUCAGAGAUUGCCCCCACAACUCAGGGUCCUGUGCCUGCCAUCCAGUCAUCUGGGUCCAGAGGGGGCCCUGGGCCUGGCCCAGGCCCUGGAGCAAUGCCCACACAUAGAAGAGGUCAGCUUGGCAGAGAAUAACCUGGCUGGAGGUGUCCCACGUUUCUCCAAGAGGCUCCCACUGCUUAGACAAAUUGACCUGGAGUUCUGCAAGAUUGAAGACCAAGCUGCCAGGCACCUUGCUGCCAACCUCACACUCUUCCCAGCCCUGGAGAAACUCUUGUGAGUGCUUGGAUGGGCUCUGGGUCGGGAAGAAAGGAUGCCAGGGGGUCCUGGCCCUGCCUACUAUG